rnacentral:rRNA from 1 species
UACAGAGGGUGCAAGCGUUAAUCGGAAUUACUGGGCGUAAAGCGUGCGUAGACGGUAGCGUAAGUCGGGUGUGGAAGCCCCGGGCUCAACCUGGGAACUGCAUUUGUGACUGCAUGGCUAGAGUUUGGCAGAGGGGGGUAGAAUUCCACGUGUAGCAGUGAAAUGCGUAGAGAUGCGGAGGAACACCGAUGGCGAAGGCAGCCCCCUGGGCUGACACUGACGCUCAGGCACGAAAGCGUGGGGAGCAAACAGG